rnacentral:rRNA from 1 species
UACGGAGGGUGCAAGCGUUGUCCGGAUUUAUUGGGUUUAAAGGGUGCGUAGGCGGCUAUUUAAGUCAGUGGUGAAAUCCAGCAGCUCAACUGUUGAACUGCCAUUGAUACUGCAGAACUUGAGUACAGACGAGGUAGGCGGAAUUGACAGUGUAGCGGUGAAAUGCUUAGAUAUCGUCAAGAACACCGAUAGCGAAGGCAGCUUACUAGACUGUAACUGACGCUGAUGCACGAAAGUGUGGGGAUCAAACAGG